ensembl:lncRNA
CACAAUUCACUGCUAUCUUCCAGGGUCAUCUCUGCAGGGACUGUAAAUCUGAAGUGUUUGCUUUCAAGCGAUAUGAGCAUAUUUUCUCGAACCAUCUACAAAACAGUAUAAAGUUUUCUUUUUUUACCCGUAUUCCAUGGAUCAUAACGAAUUCCUCAUGAGGCCAGAAGUGUGGAUUGAGAAAGAGGAAGCAGUCCAGUAGGAGCUGGUUUCAAACAAGUCUGAGGCCCCUGCUCAUGCAACUUCACUGUACUUUGGGAUCUGCCCGAGCCCAGUCUCUUGUAUCCUAUUUCCACUUGAUGAACUAUUGCUGUUGCUCAUGCCCAACCUUUAGUUUGAUAGAUCAGAAAACAACCCGAUGGAAAGCUCCGACUUCGUGGUCACCUGAUAACCCACGGUUAGCAUUGUUUUUACCAAUGCCAAGUAGCAAAUCAGAAGCUGUUUCUCAAAAGGAGAAUAGUUACCUGCCAAAUAAAGAUAAUUUGAGUAUCAUUGGAUCUCCUGCAUCAUAAGGUGAAAAGCAGGUGUUCUGAAGCCUGGACUUAAUUCACAGCCUUCCAUGGGGAGAGCAAACGUACAGCAAACCACAGUGGCAUUUUUGGUGGAGAAGAAAUUUCUUGGAGAGUGUAAGGCUUCAAGAGACCCAUGAGGGCUGCUGCAAUAGAACGGAGAAACUUUCCAGAAGGCAUGAACUUCUAAUCCCUGAGAGCUGAUGCUGUGGUGAAUAGUACCAGGCCCCCUGCAUAACAAUUCACCGGCUGUCAUGUUAAACACAGCACAUAGGUAAGGGAGAGAAACCCCUUCCUCCUACUCUGAUCUUGCAAUGGCCUUCCAGUGCCCUCUAUUGGCAAAGUCUAACAUCAAGCCACCCAGCAAAGGAAAAUGUCCAGAAGAUCCAGCUCCAGGAUGACAAAGCCAGGCAAGGCAAGGCAAGGUGGAUUUGGAGAUGAGAAGUAAUAAAUAAACAACUGACAUGGGUGACAAGUUUGACUGAAUGAGAGGUAUGUGGGUAGGUCUCUCACAAUAGACUUUAGAAGGCAAGAACAUUUAUAUCCUUUCUAAGAAAUAACCAAAAGCCUCCUAUUGCAGUAAUUAUCAAGUAUACAAAGUAAACUUCUCUGUCUUUUGACCAAUAUGGCAUUUUAUUAAAUUUUAAGUUCUUUGUCUAUAAUACACACAAAUGGAAUUAUUUUAAUUCCCUUGUCAUCCUCCUACUAUUUAAGAAACUAGAAAAAAAAAGAGCAAAUUAAACCCAAAACAAGCAGAAGGAAGGCAGCAGUAAAGAUGAAAGAAUUAAAACCAAUCUUUCUCAAACUCUUUCAAAAAAAACAGAAGAGAAGGAACACUUCCUAACUCCUUCUAUGAGGACAGUAUUACCCUGAUAUCAAAGCCAGAAAAUGACAACAAAAGAAAAAAAACCAAAUCAAUAAUCCUCUUGAUGAUAAUGCAAAAAUCAUCAAUAAAAUACUAGGAAACCAAAUAUAGCAAUAUAUUAAAAGGAGUAUACACCAUGAUCAAGUAGGAUUUAUUCCAAGUAUGCUAGGGUGGUUCAACAUAUGAAAAUCAGUGUAACAAACCAUGUUAACAGAAUGAAGGAAAAAUCCACAUGAUUAUCUCAAUAGACGCAGAAAAUGCAUUUUACAAAAUAUAACAUUCUCUCUUGAUAAAAACAUCCCACAAACUAGGAAUAGCACGGAACUUCUUCAGUUGGACAAAGGGCCUCUAGGAAAAUGUUACUAGCGACAUACUUACUAGUGGAAAAUUGAAAGCUUUCCUUUUAAGAUAGGGAACAAGACAGGGAUGGCUACUCUCAUCACCUCUAGUCAGCACUGUACUAAAAGUUCUAGCUGGGCAAUUAGGCAAGUAAAAGAUAUAAAAGACACCCAGAUGGAAAAGGAAGAAAAAAAAAAAUCCCUGUUUGCACUGACAUGAUCUUAUUAUAGAAAACCCUAAAGAAUUCACAAAUAAACAUUAGAGCUAAUAAAUGAGUUUAACAAAUUCUUGGGACAAAAGUUCAAUAUACAAAAGUCAGUCAUAU